ensembl:lncRNA
AAACCUGCAUCCCUGUAUGUUGUUGUCCACAGGAUGAGAAAAUCAAACUGGAAGACUGUGGAACAUGUUAAUAAAUGUUUGUGUGUUUAUGCCUGUGUCUUUCACAGGAGGCGCUGGAAGGUUUCCCUAAUAGUUCCUGGUGAAUCAAAGCAGAACCAUAAAGAUUGCUGGACUGCAUGAUGACCUUACCCCUGAGCAGUCAUCCUGUUAAAGGAGGAACCAGUUAGAAACUGUUUUCAAAGUAGCUGAGCAGAUUUCAUCUCAACAGACAAAGCUGAUUGCAGAAGAUGUCAGAGAAGAACUUCAGGCCGUGGACUGAAAAGUAGAUCAAAGCAGCUCGUGCUCCUUCUGCUUCCAAUUUAGAAGAAGAAGAAGAAGAAGGCGAAGGCUUCAGCGAAGUAGCGUUCAUGGUCUCAGUGAACAGUCACGGUCACACACUGCAUGUGGUUUUAAAAGCAACAUGUCUGUUCACCACAACAAUGGAGAUGUGUAAUAUUAGUGCAGCUGUGGUUUGUCCUUGAACAUCAGUUCUGUUUUCUACUUUGAUCCCUUAGACCAAAAAAGUGUUGUUUUCAGAUUCUUUCUUUUACAUCUAUAAACCACCUGUUCAUUUUUUUAUUACAAUUAGUUUCACAUAAAUGUUAGUGUUUCCUUUAUGAUCUUUUAAUGCUUACACUACACUGUACACGUCUACAUUAGAGACAUUUCUGUUUCCUGUUUCUGUUGACUCAGAGUUGUGAAAUGUUCUUUUAUUUGAUGCACAAUAUGAAGUUCAUAAUUUUCUUACAAAUAAAACUCUAAUGACAAA